UAGCAUGCUAACGGUUAGCCCCCUCGUCUCAGCUAGUGACGUAGAAAGCCGUGCAGAUUCUGACCAGCUCACCCAGAGACUGAAGGCAGGACACAUUCAGAAACCGGAUCUCACUCAGAACAGCAUGGAUGAUUUUUUUUCAAAGUGUCUACACU